rnacentral:rRNA from 14 species
AGAAGGACACAAAGCUUCACCGAUGCGGCUCCUUUGAAAAUGUCGUCUGUGAAAGCAUGGCCUAUCGAUCCUUUAG